GUGCUCCCUGCCAUAGCACAUACACUAAAACUGAAACAGAGCAAUCAGCACAGACCCUGCGCACAGAUGACCUGCAAAUUCAUGAAGCAUUCCAUAUUUUU
rnacentral:snRNA from 1 species